rnacentral:rRNA from 1 species
AGAUUGAACGCUGGCGGCAUGCCUUACACAUGCAAGUCGAACGGCAGCACGGGAGCAAUCCUGGUGGCGAGUGGCGAACGGGUGAGUAAUACAUCGGAACGUGCCCAAUCGUGGGGGAUAACGCAGCGAAAGCUGUGCUAAUACCGCAUAAGAUCUACGGAUGAAAGCAGGGGAUCGCAAGACCUUGCGCGAAUGGAGCGGCCGAUGGCAGAUUAGGUAGUUGGUGAGGUAAAGGCUCACCAAGCCUUCGAUCUGUAGCUGGUCUGAAAGGACGACCAGCCACACUGGGACUGAGACACGGCCAGACUCCUACGGGAGCAGCAGUGGGAUUUGGACA